rnacentral:rRNA from 1 species
CCUACGGGGUGCAGCAGUGGGGAAUAUUGGGCAAUGGGCGCAAGCCUGACCCAGCAACGCCGCGUGAAGGAAGAAGGCUUUCGGGUUGUAAACUUCUUUUCUGAGGGACGAAGAAAGUGACGGUACCUCAGGAAUAAGCCACGGCUAACUACGUGCCAGCAGCCGCGGUACUACGUAGGUGGCAAGCGUUAGCCGGAUGUAUUGGGUGUAAAGGGAGUGUAGGCGGGAAUGCAAGUCAGAUGUGAAAACGCAGGGCUCAACCCUGAGCCUGCAUUUGAAACUGUUUUUCUUGAGUGCUGGAGAGGCAAUCGGAAUUCCGUGUGUAGCGGUGAAAUGCGUAGAUAUACGGAGGAACACCAGUGGCGAAGGCGGAUUGCUGGACAGUAACUGACGCUGAGGCACGAAAGUGCGGGGAUCGAACAGGAUUAGAUACCCGAGUAGUC